rnacentral:lncRNA from 13 species
GCCGCCGCCACCGCCGCCGCCGCCGCCGCCCGCCGCCACGGUCCCGGAGCCUCCCGGGCGCGCGGCUCCGCACGCGGCCCGCGAGCAGGGGGGCGUGGCGCGCGGACACGGCGGGGCGGCGCGCGCCCGGGAAGCCCCGGGGGCGGGGCCUGGCGAGGGCGGGGCCCGCUUGGCGACUGCACCCGGGACUCCCUCACGCCGCCCGCGGCCGCGCUACCAAGGAGCCGAGCGCUGGGCCCCGCCCCUUCCGAGCCCGCUCCCAGCGAGAGACGCAGAUCGGAUGAAUCUCCCGGCGGAGAGCUAUCGGCUUUUCCGGAAUGGAGGACUCGGCUCGUGACGGAACAAAGCCCGAAGAAGCAGGGAGCCUUAGACCCCGCUCGCCUGGCCGCCGACGUCCCCGGUCUGCGGUGGCCCGAGCCCCUGCCUGGUUGGAGGGCACUCCCCUGCCGCGGGGGACUUCGGGUCUCCACCCCUCUCCCGAGGCGCCCGCCCAGGCGGGACCUGCCCCAACUCUUGGCGGGCGGGAUUCUCCUGGCGUGGCCUAGUGCUUGUCAGGUUCCACCUCCUAAGGCCAUCACUCAGGGGAUCAGAUUUCAACGCAUGAAUUUUUUGGGGAACAAAAACCUUCAAUCCGUAACAGAGAAGAAGAAAAUAAAUUGUCCCAAUGUAUUAAUGGUGUGCUGGAGCCAGCUUGUGGCAGCGAAUUAUGUGAAUCUUUCCCAACUCUACAUUCAGUGACUUCACAUUGGUAACUUGGAAUGAGCCAUUGUACAGACUGGAAGAGGCAGAGUGCUCGUCCUAAGUUCACAUGUCUUCAGGUUAGUGGGGGCCAGUGCUACAAGCCAGAUCUCUGGUUCCCAAUCACACCUCUUUUCCAAGCUCCAUAUGGUAUUUCAAAUGUGUUGUUUAUGUAAGAUCGUUUGUGGUGGGAUGAAUGAGGUCCUAAGAGAUUUUAUAGCCCCCUUUCAAUACUUGUUUUUCCUUAAUAAUAUGCUUUCCAAAACUCAGCAACUGGCCUCACUUAACAUUCUCUAUUCCUUCCAAUAUUCUAAGGUCGGAAACUGGUUUUGCUGUGUCAUAACACUUUUGAAUUUGCCAUGUAGUAUUAUCUGCCCUUACUGCACUGAGCUGGGUAAAAACGCUUCCUGUAACCUACUAGAAAGCUGUAAGCAAUGUCUAUGCUUGAGAUUUCUGACCUUCUCUUCUUAUCUAUAAACAAAUGUGUUUUGAAGUUUAUAAUUAAAAAAUUUCUUGGUACUGAGAAAUUACCAGGAAAAAAACAAUUGCAGAACAUGUCAAUGCUUUCUAUGCAAAAGACUUCAUUGCAAAAAACUGACAGGAGACGUAAACAUACCUGUCUACAAGACUACAUCAACUAGUGAUGAUUAAUUUCAUUGAAUCAAAUUUAUCUAGUAACAGACUAGGUGCAGUGACUCAUGCCUGUAAUCCCAGCACUUUGGUAG